rnacentral:rRNA from 1 species
GUUCAGCAGUGUCUGGCCCGUCGAGGUUCGUCCUUUGUGCGAGUGCUGACACUUUAGCUGGGCAUCCUUGUGGAAAUAGUUGUGUGUUCGUCAGCAAUGGCGGGUGCAUGGCUCCACAUCAUUUACUUUGAACAAAUUAGAGUGUUUCAAGCAGGCCUUUGAGCCGUGAAUACAUUAGCAUGGAAUAAUAACAUAGGACUUCUUGUCUUAUAUUUGUUGGUGUUCUCAAGCGGGAAGUA